rnacentral:lncRNA from 1 species
CAUUUGUAAACCUCAUCCCCAGUUCACAGAAGCAUUAUUGUUGCCAUUUAAGUUCAUAUAGGCAACAUACAAAAGCAUUCAUGUUUAGCUAGCAUUUUUGUUGCCCUCUGUAGAUAACACACACAAAAGACUGAUCAAGAGCAUCAGUGCAUCAUACAAAAACAUUCAUGCUCAACUAUUAUAGUUAAAGGCAUUCAUCGGCCUUGAUCAAACUGCAUACAUCUACUUCAAUUCUUAUUAUUCUUGGUCCUUGUUUCUCCCUUAUUUGUUGGUGGUUUUGCAAUCCUCUUUCUUGUUGUGUUCCUUCCUUCUUUGGUUGCUGAUGUGAGGACUAUAGGUCUUGGCACAGGAAUGUUUGCUAUGAUGAAUUUACAUUCGACACAGCUUGUUUAGGUUCCUGUGAAAGUAGUUGACUAGGACCAACCUACCAAAAAAUAGUGAUUAGUUUAGUUGUUAAGGUGACUAUGGGUGGAAAGUGCAUUUGGCAGUAGCUGACCUGUUCCAUCAUUUGAAGUAGCAUCGUUGAGCUCAUUUCUAUCAUCAAAUUGCAAUAAUGGGGUUCAUCACCAUCUUGUGUCAUCUGGUCCAUUGGUGGCCCCUUGACUGUUAUCUUGGGUGACAACUUGAUUGUCAUCUAGCAUUUCGUUGUAAUCAGGUUGUUCAUCAGGUUGUGCCUCAGGAUGAGCAGGUUACACCUCAAGAUGAUUAGGUUUUGGACUGACACCUAGCUUCUUGAUGGGGAAGCCUUUGUCAUUAUGGUCGUC